rnacentral:tRNA from 1 species
AGCGGAGAGGAGAUAUGGUAUUCUUACGUGUCUCAUAAGCACGUCGUUCCUGGUUCAAAUCCAGGCUCCGCUACCA